rnacentral:rRNA from 1 species
CCUACGGGACGCACCAGUGGGGAAUAUUGCACAAUGGGCGCAAGCCUGAUGCAGCCAUGCCGCGUGUGUGAAGAAGGCCUUCGGGUUGUAAAGCACUUUCAGCGGGGAGGAAGGCGGUGAGGUUAGUAACCUCAUCGAUUGACGUUACCCGCAGAAGAAGCACCGGCUAACUCCGUGCCAGCAGCCGCGGUAAUACGGAGGGUGCAAGCGUUAAUCGGAAUUACUGGGCGUAAAGCGCACGCAGGCGGUCUGUCAAGUCGGAUGUGAAAUCCCCGGGCUCAACCUGGGAACUGCAUUCGAAACUGGCAGGCUAGAGUCUUGUAGAGGGGGGUAGAAUUCCAGGUGUAGCGGUGAAAUGCGUAGAGAUCUGGAGGAAUACCGGUGGCGAAGGCGGCCCCCUGGACAAAGACUGACGCUCAGGUGCGAAAGCGUGGGGAGCAAACAGGAUUAGAUACCCGUGUAGUC